GUAGCCGCCGGAUAAGUCUCUUGGGAAAUCUGGCAGCUUAACUGUCAGGCUUUCAGGAGAUACUGUCUGGCUCGAGGCCGGGAGAGGUGAGAGGUACUUCAGGGGUAGGGGUGAAAUCUUGUAAUCCUUGAAGGACCACCAGUGGCGAAGGCGUCUCACCAGAACGGACCUGACGGCAAGGGACGAAAGCUAGGGGCACGAACCGGAUUAGAUACCCGGGUAGUCCUAGCCGUAAACGAUACUCGCUAGGUGUCGGCAACGGUGCGACCGUUGUCGGUGCCGUA
rnacentral:rRNA from 1 species